UGCGCUCUUUCCCCAUGCAAAUGAAAGCCACCAACAAUUAAUAAAAUAUUUUUCAUUACAGAAAUCGUUAAUUUCUUCAGAUUUUGACAAGGUCUAUUCAUGGCACCACAGUUACGAGGAUUUGUUCAGACCAGAAUUAGGAAUGAUCUUAUUGUUGGUACUGUGUUGGGUAUAGCUGCCGGAUUCAUGUGGAAGUUUGGUUAUGCAGACCCUUUGAGAAAGAAAUACGCUCGAUAUUAUAGCAACUUUAACCCAGAAAAGGCUGCAUUGGAGAUUGAACAGGAAUGAAUUCUGUCGCAUUAUUUAAUAGGUUU